CAGCCCCCAAUCUGCUGCUGCCCCUCCCUUUCACCUUGCAUCCAGCACUAAGGGAGUCUGGCCACCACAUAACAUAGGGGAGCUCUUGCUGGAGGGGACACCCAGCCCCCCUUUCUGCACCCCUCCACUCCCCCAUGCCACCCCCAAGCCAGGAGCCACCCCAGCCCCGUCUGUGACUCUCAGCUGGGUUCUUCCCCAGGGAAGCUGCAUGACCAUGGCCACAUACAGGAGGUACGAGACAGAGGCCUCCACAGUAGAUGAUCGUGGUGUGAAGUCCACGUUGACCAUGUUGUCGGUGCUGGGGGAGCGGAUGAAGGCCAGGGACCCGCGGCGCUCUCCCUAUGGUCAGGAAGCAGCCCGGUCACUGGCCUGAGCAGCCAAGCCCUAGGUCCCGGACCUGUGGCAUCUGUUGUCGUUGUAUGCCCUGGGGGGAAGCGGGUAAGUGCCCAGAGCUCGGGGCCCAGGGAAGGCCUUGAGACCUGAGCCCCAGGUUCUCCCCUCACAGCUGCAGAGGGGAGGAGAUGCCAAAACCAGGAGAUCAGAUUUUGAGCCUCUGUCCAUCUGUCUGAGACCACAGCCAGACUGCUGCCUGAACUGGGCAGAGGUAAUGCUUGUGGGAGGACACAGUGGUCUGAGUGUGAAGGGGUAAAGCUGCCUGGGACUUGGGGGGUGUCUAGGGAAACUGUCGAUAUGCAGAAUCAGAAGUGGCCUCUGUCCCUGCCAGAGGCCCUAAAACCCCAUUGGCCUCAUGUCCAGAAAUGAAUCAGGUCAAGGGAACGGAGCAGAGCCCGAUGGGGCACAGAAGCCGCACAGCUGAGUGCCAGACGACGGCAGUGGGGCCGCCUGUGUGUCCUCAGACCCCACCCGCCUGAUGGCAGAGCCUGGAGAGCGUGAGGCUGUGGAGGAGUGCAGGGCAAGGGAAAGCAAGGGAGCUCAGGGUCCUAGGACCUAACCUCAGCGCUCACCCCCACCAGCACCGCAGUCACCAGGACUCCAUGACUCAGUUUACCCCAUGUGACAGCCAGCUGGGAUUCCCAGGGCAUCAAAGGCCCAUCAGCCUCCUGUGAACUUCUGGGGUGGGCCUGGCCUUGGGACGCGGGUGCAGGGGCCUCUCCUCACUGCCCCCAUGGCGCCCACAGCCAGUGCCCAAGCCUGUUGCACCCCUGACCCAACAGAGGGAGCAAGCGGCUCGGCUACCUCAGCCACAUAGCUGAUGGCGUCCUUCAGGUUCAGCUCGUGGAAGACAUUCAGGAUCCGGUCUCGAGACUUCUGGGCUGACCGUCUCAUGAGGACCCUGCUGAGGAACUUUCUGUCGAAGUGGGACCACCUGUAGGGACAAACCUCAGGUGUGAGCCUCAGGCGACAGGCGCCCUGGAGCCCAGACUGUAGCCAGCCACUUCUCUCCUGAAUUUUAUUUGCUGUAACCACCCUGCAGGCGCAUUUAAAAUGAGGGAAGCAGCCCCUGGCACGCGCCCAGGCCAUCCGCCGUUCUCCCGCCUGUCCUGUUGGAUGGAGGCCGUUAGAGGCACGUGAAAUUGCAUUCCGCUUUCCGGCAGCCGCCUCCUCCAGAGGGUGGCUCAGGAGAGGGUGGGCAUCAGGCCUGGUCGGGCAAGGGGGCUCCAGCCACGUGGGGGGUACUUUUCAGCUGCACAGGAGGAAAGACAGGGGUGGACAGACGCCCUGAGCCCUUAGACUUGCGAGAGCCAAGCUGACCAGAGUGAAGUUUUUUAGCCUAACAGAAUUAGAGUAUUUGCUGUUUAUCCGGAUCAGAAGGGAUGGUGGCCUGACUGGACUUAGAGGAAACUUUGGGGCACAAGGAGGUGAUGCCUGUCACUCUUGAACAUGGGCGUGGCCGCCAGAGCUGCCCCCCGGGGCAGAGGGUGGGCCCCGGUGAGCUUGUGUACUCACACCUGGGCAGGCCCCGCGGCAGCAAUAGCAGCUUUUCUGUGCAGGUUGAGUUUUAGCCAUACCAAGAAGUCAAAGCUAACUGAGGCCUGCCUUCUGAGACCCCUGGGAUGGCCCCUGGGAGGCCAAGGAGUCGGGUACUGGGUACCUGGAGCAGAGUCACUGUGGCCACGGAGAACCGCAGCUGAGCUUUGUGAAGCCACGUGGCCACACCUCCCAGUGCCUCCACCCCCACCAAACAGACCGCCCAGAAAAUAGGAACCCAGUGCAAAUUGUAUGUGCUACUUACUGGGUUUAUUGUAAGUGUCAAAUGUAUUUUAUAAUAAAACAUAGGCGAUUUCAGCUUAAUGGA